rnacentral:rRNA from 1 species
AGUGAACGCUGGCGGUAGGCCUAACACAUGCAAGUCGAACGGCAGCACAGUAAGAGCUUGCUCUUACGGGUGGCGAGUGGCGGACGGGUGAGGAAUACAUCGGAAUCUACUUUUUCGUGGGGGAUAACGUAGGGAAACUUACGCUAAUACCGCAUACGACCUACGGGUGAAAGCAGGGGAUCUUCGGACCUUGCGCGAUUGAAUGAGCCGAUGUCGGAUUAGCUAGUUGGCGGGGUAAAGGCCCACCAAGGCGACGAUCCGUAGCUGGUCUGAGAGGAUGGUCAGCCACACUGGAACUGAGACACGGUCCAGACUCCUACGGGAGGCAGCAGUGGGGAAUAUUGGACAAUGGGCGCAAGCCUGAUCCAGCCAUACCGCGUGGGUGAAGAAGGCCUUCGGGUUGUAAAGCCCUUUUGUUGGGAAAGAAAAGCAGCAGGGUAAUACCCCGCUGUUCUGACGGUACCCAAAGAAUAAGCACCGGCUAACUUCGUG